GUAACAGCCAUGGAGGAGGGUGAAAGGAUAGCAGCCCCAACUGUCAGUGAGAGAGUAGGUUAUUCUGGAUAGGGCAGGUACAUUUGUGUAGUUCCUGUCCCUAGAAGUGAGGAUGGAGUUAAUAGUAACAUAAUAUUCAUUGCGGUGUAAUUUGACUAUAGUAAAGUCUGUUUCUUGUGAGGUUUUCUGUCCUCAAAUAGAGUUAUGAAACCUAUCUACAUAUGAAGAGGUCCCAAUGAAGAGCAGUGGUUCUCAGUCCUGGGGACUCAAAGGGGUGCACAUUUUUGUUUUUGCCUUAGCACUGCACAGCUGAUUCAAUUGAUCAACUCAUCAAGCUUCAAGUGAUACCUUGCAAUUGGAGAUUCCUUCAAAACGAUUGCCUACAAUUACUGUGUAGGGCACUGCAAGGUUGGGUGACCAGGGCCAUCUGGGACUGCCACUUGGGGGAAUUCAGCCCUGUGUGUCCGACAGCAGCAUAGUGGUCUAGACUCUGCAGACAGCCACUAUGACAGACUACCCGGGCCACAUCCCUACCGACGUCAUCCAGAAAGCACUGCUGGCUGUGGGCCCCGGGGUGGCAGCCCUGCAGGACCCCUACAGACAUGACAUGGUGGCCGUUCUCGGCGAGACUACAGGACACCUGGCCCUCAAUACGCUCCGGGACAGAAUAAGAGGAGACCCUGAGGGCUAUACCAUUCUAACAAGAGCGCCCACGGAUCAGGCUAUCCACAUUGGAUCUGUCCAAGAUGGCCUUUCUUCCAGAUGGAUCCUUAGGGAGAGAGUACUUGUGCUUCCUUGAAGACAAUAGGGUGACCCCUGACUCAAGGGCAGAUGUUAAGUUUGUGGAUAAUGAAGAGUUGGCGUAUGUUAUGCAGAGAGGUCCACGAUUUACUGCACAGCUUACUAGGCUUGCCCACUAACAUGCUAGGCUUCCAUGUCUGAUGUUGGUGGGAUUUGGAGGAUGAUGGAGGCAACAGGGGAAAGAGCCUCAGAUCCACAAAGUCCCUUCCACCAAGUGGCCGAUUGAGAUAUGUUGGCACAACUGCCAUAUUGCAUCUCCGUCCCAAAGCCCUUAUUUGGAAGUGUACUUCGUCAAACUGCCAAGAACCUUGCUCUCAUCCAGGCCAAGGUGGUGAGACACGGUAGUGAUUACACCAUAGGUCUUGUUGAUGUCUGCACCCGACAGGAUGCUCUUGCCAGCAUACUUGGGGUCCAAUGUAUGCCGUGGCGUGUAUGGGCUUCAGGCAGAAGUCUUCAUGCUUUUUGAUGUAUUUCAGAACUGCAGUUUCCUCUGCUUGGAGCAACAGUGAAGUGGGCAGGGCAGUACGGAUUUAUUAUCUUACAUCUGCAAGCAGAGUCUGAACAUCAGACAGGAUGGAAUUGUCUCCCUCAAUCUGUGCAAUCGCUACUGCUAUAGGUUUCAGGAGUUUCAGGCUGCUUACCGCUCUCUCCCAAAAUACAUCAUCCAGGAGGAUCCUCUUGAUGGGGCUGUGAUAUGGCCAUUUCUUGGAGAGACUUUCAAACAUAACACCACCCCAAAAGGUUCAAAGUGGUGCUCUUAUUCUUCUCACUUUGCUUGGUGAGGUAGAUUGCUGCUAUAACUUGAUGACCCUUCACAUACCUAACCAUUUCCUUGGCUCUCUUGUAGAGUGUAUCCAUUGUUUUCAGUGCCAUGAUGUCCUUGAGGAGCAGAUUCAAUGCAUGAGCAGCACAGCCAAUGGGUGUGAUGUGAGGUCGUCUGGAAUCCCUGGUGACGUCCCUGGGGCUGCGGGCUGUGAGGAAUGGCCGACAGGCAUGCUGUGUCCUCAGCAUCUUCUAGGAGCGACGCUGGGAGCAGAGUCUGCAGGACCUGAGACUGGAGCUGAACAUCGAGCACCCCCUCUGAUGUCAGAGCUACCACUGUGCAACCAGAUGGUAGAGGAUGCAGGGACUCUUUGGAGAGAUGUAAUGUUGGAAUUUUGUGGGCUGACUGUAUAAUGGCAAUUGUGUCAAGCUUCCCCAUGUUUCAAAGUGAAUAAUGGUGAAGGAAGGAAAGGCCUAUAUUCACAAUGGGGGCAGGGGAUUUCCAGAGAGAGAUUGUUACCCCCUUAACAAGCUUGAGAUCAUUUCCCCUCGACAAUGGUUAAGUACAGUAUGACCUGACAUUGAAUAGAAGGGACUUUUUUGGAACAAAACCUUGUUGAGGGUCUUGUAUUACCCACUGCCAUUCUUCAAGCGCCAAGUCAUUACCUAGGUUGGGCAAACCAAGGACAUGAGAGAGCCUGUUGCUGCUGGUUACACAAGUGGUGGCUUAGUCAUGUCUGGUAUCAUUCAGACGCUGAGACUGGUUCUAUCUGACAUUUCCUUCUCUUAUAACUCAUGGUACAUCACCCACCUGGUACUGUAAUGACUGUCAAUCAUUGACUGAGUUUUAUUUGACAAUGUGUGUGUUCAUGACAAGCACAGCACUGUUCAUGCAUCUCUGGCGUGAGAUGUCACUUAUCAAUAAAUUGUUUGCACUUUGUUGAAA